rnacentral:tRNA from 1 species
GCGGACAUAGCUCAGUGGGAGAGCGACGGCCUUCCAAGCCGUAGGUCGCGGGUUCAAUCCCCGCUGUCCGCU